CCGCAGUGAUGCGUGAAAACAAUAUAAAAAAAAAAAAAAAUUGUGGACACUCACCAUGGAGGUCUUGGUGGACCACAAGAAGCGCCGAUGGAUGUUGCAAUCACUCAUGCGUCACCAUCCGGAACCUGUUCUGGAAUACAGGUUGUUAUUCCUCUUACCAUCAACAGAAAUUCUACCGAGCCUACUGUGUACGACGAGGUAUCCCUAUGCCCGCUUGAAAAAUAAAUAUCUCGAUUAUGUUCAA